AGAGAGUAUAUGUACCAGCAAAAAAGGCACCUGCAGGACAUCGCAGUGUUCUGCUGACGAGCUGGAGAUCCCACAAGGCUGUACAGGCGACGGGUGUAGGUGCUGCACCCCUAAAGGUCCAGUUUGCAAGCAACAAAGUACAUGUAUUGCCAAGAAAGGCACCUGCACAACAUCACAGUGUUCAGAAGAUGAGCUGGAGAUCACACAAGGCUGUACAGGUGACGGGUGCAGGUGCUGCGCCCCUAAAAGUAUAGGCUGUCGACCUGAGAGUGUAUGUACCACUAAGAAAGGAACCUGCAAAUUAUCACAGUGUUCAGCUGAUGAGCUGGAGAUCCCACAAGGCUGUACAGGUGACGGGUGUAGGUGCUGCGCCCCUAAAAGUCCAGUGUGUCAGCCAGAGAGUACAUGUACCAGCAAGAAAGGCACUUGCAAGAUAUUGCUGUGUUCAGCUGAUGAGCUGGAGAUCCCACAAGGCUGUACAGGCGAUGGGUGUAGAUGCUGCGCCCCUAAAA